rnacentral:rRNA from 1 species
UACGGAGGGUGCAAGCGUUGCUCGGAAUUAUUGGGCGUAAAGGGUAGGUAGGUGGUCUCAUUUGUCUGGGGUGAAAUCCUGGAGCUCAACUCCAGAACUGCCUUUGAUACUGAAGAUCUUGAGUUCGGGAGAGGUGAGUGGAACUGCGAGUGUAGAGGUGAAAUUCGUAGAUAUUCGCAAGAACACCAGUGGCGAAGGCGGCUCACUGGCCCGAUACUGACGCUGAGGCACGAAAGCGUGGGGAGCAAACAGG